rnacentral:rRNA from 1 species
CCUACGGGUGGCAGCAGUGGGGAAUAUUGCACAAUGGGCGCAAGCCUGAUGCAGCCAUGCCGCGUGUGUGAAGAAGGCCUUCGGGUUGUAAAGCACUUUCAGCGGGGAGGAAGGCGGUGAGGUUAAUAACCUCAUCGAUUGACGUUACCCGCAGAAGAAGCACCGGCUAACUCCGUGGCCAGCAGCCGCGGUAAUACGGAGGGUGCAAGCGUUAAUCGGAAUUACUGGGCGUAAAGCGCACGCAGGCGGUCUGUCAAGUCGGAUGUGAAAUCCCCGGGCUCAACCUGGGAACUGCAUUCGAAACUGGCAGGCUAGAGUCUUGUAGAGGGGGGUAGAAUUCCAGGUGUAGCGGUGAAAUGCGUAGAGAUCUGGAGGAAUACCGGUGGCGAAGGCGGCCCCCUGGACAAAGACUGACGCUCAGGUGCGAAAGCGUGGGGAGCAAACAGGAUUAGAUACCCGAGUAGUC